GAGGGUAUAGCUCAGUGGUAGAGUGAGUGCUUAGCAGGCACAAGGUCCUGGGUUCAAUUCCCAGUACCUCCA
rfam:Camelus ferus unplaced genomic scaffold scaffold123, whole genome shotgun sequence.